rnacentral:tRNA from 1 species
GCCGAUAUAGCUCAGUUGGCUAGAGCAGCACUUUCGUAAAGUGAAGGUCGCCAGUUCGACUCUGGCUAUCGGCU